CAGCCGCCGCGGUAAUACGAAGGGUGCAAGCGUUAAUCGGAAUUACUGGGCGUAAAGCGUGCGUAGGCGGUGAGUUAAGUCUGCUGUGAAAUCCCCGGGCUCAACCUGGGAAUGGCAGUGGAUACUGGCUCGCUAGAGUGUGUCAGAGGAUGGUGGAAUUCCCGGUGUAGCGGUGAAAUGCGUAGAGAUCGGGAGGAACAUCAGUGGCGAAGGCGGCCAUCUGGGACAACACUGACGCUGAGGCACGAAAGCGUGGGGAGCGAACAGGAUUAGAUACCCGAGUAGUCCCUGUCUCUUAUAC
rnacentral:rRNA from 1 species